rnacentral:lncRNA from 1 species
GCCUCUCGCCCCGUCGCGUUUAUCGAGGAGACAGGUGAAAACUGAGGUUUAGAGAGGGUAAAUAACUUGCCCAAAAUCUGGAAAAGUUUGCCAACCCCUGGUCUUACUCCUCAUUAAGGUUUCCCUUCCUCUCCACCAUUCCCAAAUCUGAGUAUUCCAGAAGAGCUACUGUUUUUUUAAUGAUAUGGUAAAUUAAUUUCUAAAGGGAUUAAAAUGAAUACCUACCUGUUGUAAUGAAAAUAAAUGUAUAACAUAAAGCAAUCUGCAAAAUAGUAAGUAUACACUCAAAAUCUGUUAGCCAUUAUUACCAUUGUUAUUAUUUUUAUUUUCAGUCCAACCAACACUGAUACUGCUGAACUCCUUUUUUUUUAUGGAGUUUAUGGCACAUGUUUAAGUUAAUUAAUUAUGUAAGAUACAUAUAUAUAUGUACACAUGGUAAGGUGGAGCGGUUGUGAUAAUACCACAAGCUGCCUGAAGGGGCAGCCCACCCUAGAUCCUUUCCUAACUGAACAAGAUUCCAAAACACCAGUACCUCUGGUAAGUGGAAGGGCCCAGUCCAUCCCCCAGGCUGUGUCCUUGUGCGUCAGUCCUCUUGCUUCCCUCAGGCUCUACUUCUUUUUCCUACAAGCACAGAGAGCAUUGGGAUCAGUCAUGGAGCCCUGCCAGGGAUGAUGGGGAUUGAGAGCAGCCAAAUACCCUACAGGAGCCCAUGCAGCAGCCCACAGCUCUGCAGAGAGAAACUAAACUGGUGAUUACCAUGAGCUCCAGCCCCGGGUUCACUGUGCCAGUCUCCACUGUGGACAGAGCAAUGGACUGUCUUCCACUUGCUUUCUCCAUCUCCUGUUCUCCUCAACUGAAAAACAAAUUCAGGGCCAAGCCUGAAAGAUUGGUCAUUCUGUUCUGUGGGGAUGGGGAGAAUUUUUAGGACCAGUUACCCAUGGAAAACGCAAAACUAAAAGUCUUUGAAGGCUUAGUUGAUUUCUUUAAGAACUGAGAAUUGAGAAGAUUGGAUGUGUAAUUUUUAUAUAAUAAAUAAUGAAAAAUAAAAUCCUAUUUCCUCUUGUGAAUAGCUAAAGAAGAGGCAGUAAGAUAGGAGAAGAGAAAUGAAAGGCAGUGGAAUUGAAAUGAAUCAGUGGGCCGCCCAGGGCCCCAGGAUCUGGGCUAUAAAGGUUCCUACUUGGACCCUCAAAGAAAGAGUCACAGGGUAACUACUCCUUUUAGCCCCAGGGAGGCCCCACUGAGCUUGCUGAGUAAGAAGGAAACAGGGAGGAAGGCAGUUGGGAAGACCCGGACCCUAAAGUAUUGCUGAACAGAUAACAAUUUACAGGCCUUCAAAUUCCUGACUAUAAUGUAGCAUAAGAAUUGGUUUUUUAUGCCCCAGAGAGAACUCAUCAGUGAAAUUAACAAAACUUACAUUUAAAAUAAUUAGUAUGAAUGUUAAUGAUCCCAAGUAAAGUUUUUAAACAAAAUAAGCAAACAUUUGGGCCUCAGAAUAAGCAAAUUUAAUACAUGGACAUUCACAAUUAGAAUAUAAGUUCAUUCUGAGAUAUUUAUUUACUUUGCAGAAAAUUCCCUUCCCCAUGGAAUUGCUUUUGAAAAUGUGAUCUCUUCAAGCAUUUGAAGUAUAAUUUCAUUAAACACACAUAACCAACUUAUAUUGUGUAAAUUAGGGCCUUCCUGACUAGGCACAAAACUACCUGCAUUUAGUUUAAAUAUGAUCUCUUUAAAAAUUUGUAAAUUAGGCACCUGCCCUCCCCCAAACACCUUUACUUACCCCAGCUUGUGGAAUUGAUUCCCUCUGGCUCCUCAGUGAAGGACUGAAAGAAAAGCUCAGCUGCGAGGGAGGAGGGGCAGCUUGGGUGGGGCAUGGGGGCUUUCCUGCCAUUGGUUAGUUUUAUGUCUUGGGCCCUCCUUCGCUGAGCCUGCCCUCAAUGUAGAGGAGGACUGCACCUCUCAAGUUAAAUAUUAUAUGUUUUUAAGACUGUUUUGCAGGCCUAAGACUUAUGCAGAGGUGGCGCCCGCCCGUAAUCCCAGCACUUCGGGAGGCCGAGACGGGCGGAUCGCUUGAGACCAGCCAGGAUAACAUGGCGAAACCACAUCUCUACAACAAAUACAAAAAUUAGCUGGGCGCGGUGGCACACGACUGUGGUUCCAGUUACUCGGCAGGCGGAGGUGGAAGGAUCCCUUGAGCCUCUGGAGGUGGAGGUUGCAGUGAGCUGUGAUUGCGCCACUGCACUCCAGCCUGGGCGACAGAGUGAGACCCUGUCAGAAAACAAAACAAAACAAAAGAAUUCUGUAAGAACUUCUAACAGGUACAUUCCUGUAAGCAUUACCCACCACUGGACUAGGCACUGGGUAGCCUGUAAAAUACAGUAAGAGCCGUCUCUGCACCCAGAAAAUUUACCAUCAUUUUGUGCUGGAAAGACAUGCCCUAGAAAACAAUAAACAGCACGACUGUACAUGAUUCCAU